rnacentral:rRNA from 1 species
GAUGAACGCUAGCUACAGGCUUAACACAUGCAAGUCGAGGGGAAACGACAUCGAAAGCUUGCUUUUGAUGGGCGUCGACCGGCGCACGGGUGAGUAACGCGUAUCCAACCUGCCCACCACUUGGGGAUAACCUUGCGAAAGUAAGACUAAUACCCAAUGAUAUCUCUAGAAGGCAUCUGAAAGGGAUUAAAGAUUUAUCGGUGAUGGAUGGGGAUGCGUCUGAUUAGCUUGUUGGCGGGGUAACGGCCCACCAAGGCGACGAUCAGUAGGGGUUCUGAGAGGAAGGUCCCCCACAUUGGAACUGAGACACGGUCCAAACUCCUACGGGAGGCAGCAGUGAGGAAUAUUGGUCAAUGGGCGAGAGCCUGAACCAGCCAAGUAGCGUGCAGGAUGACGGCCCUAUGGGUUGUAAACUGCUUUUAUAAGGGAAUAAAGUGGGUCACGUGUGACUUUUUGCAUGUACCUUAUGAAUAAGGACCGGCUAAUUCCGUG